rnacentral:lncRNA from 1 species
ACUGGGUCUUGCACUUGUGUAAAUUUUAGGUUUUUAGCUGUUUAUUUUACAUAACAUACUUAAGUUUGAUUUGGUUACAAAAAGGUAAAUACAAUACUAUUAUAUUUUAUCUUUCCUGUUGACAAAAUACAGGAGUUCAAGCAGGGUAUGGGCUGCUUGAAUUCUGUUUUUAUGAGAUGGCUGAGGCAAGAAAAUGGGAAUUGUGCAUUCUGUGCCAAAAAGAAACUGAGGAACAACUUGUUUGCCCUCUUGCGAAUCCAGUUGCCAGUCGUAGAGUGGGAGCCUACAAAGAAAUCAUCAACCUUGUGAGUCAGUUUAGAGCUAUUGGUGCGGCUCCCCACCCAGAUGUAGAUCUUCCAGAUGAAGAAUUGAUGCAGCAGAAUCGUGCAUCCUGGCACAAAUCAUGUCGUCAGCUUUACAGAUCCUCAGCAUUUGAACACGCAAAAAAACGCACUGCCCGUGAGGGAUUGCCUGGUGUAAAUAGAAGUUCUUGUCGGACUGGAGAACCUGUUAACCGCAAUCUAUGUCUCUUCUGUGCUAAAGAAACAGAUGCAGUAGACCAUUCUUUCCAGAAAUUAUCACUUACCCAAGAGAUACAUGACAAGGCAGUUAAACUAGGAGAAGAUCGUAUUCUGGCACUCCUUGCAGAAGGAGAUCUGGUUGCUAUUGAAGCAAAGUAUCAUCUGAAAUGCUACACAAUGUUUAACCGCCGUGCUAAAUAUGACCUCUCUUUCAACAAACUUGAAAUGUGAGCCUCCACUUGCAGUGUUCCUUGCCCUUGAUUUGCAUUCGGAAACAAGAAGCAAGAAGUUAGUCAAUCUGCUACACAAAUAUAAACUCACAGUAUCAUAUGAGAAGGUCCUCAGCAUGGAAGUUUGCUUUGCACAGGCCAUUGCACAACAGACCAGGAAGAAUGCAGAUAUAGUCUGUCCUACAAAUUUGCGUCGGCAAAUUUUCACAGUUGCAGCCCUUGAUAACUUGGAUCAUAAUCCCACAUCACGCACUGCCAGCUCAUCCUUCCAUGGAACUGGGAUUUCACUAUUUCAGUUUCCUACAUCAGAGAAGCCUGGGUUGCACCAAGAAUGUCUGAAAAUCAACUCAAAGAAAUCAGGAGAAAGCAGCAUAGUAGGAC